UAGGGUGACAAUAGCAUGUGGGCCCACCUCUUCCCAUAUCGAACAGAGAAGUUAAGCCACAUAGCGCUGAUGAUACUUGGGUAAUACUUGGGAAAGUAAGUCGUUGCCAAAU
rnacentral:rRNA from 2 species